AAGCAAAAGUGAAUUUAGGAGCACGGAUUGUUCUCUUAAAAGAACGAAGUUAUUGAAAAAUUUAAUUGAUAAAUUUUUAAUGAUAGCAUGUUUUUCAAAAUUUUUACUUAAGAAUAUUCCAGACAUUCAUUUAUGGGACAUACCACACACACAAAAAAACAGCCCAUAACUAAUAUCUAAUUAUUAUCUAGGCAACCCAUACUAACUCCUAUUACAAAUCUAAAUUGAGUCAUAUUUACAAAAAUAAAAGCAACAGGAUUUGAGAAGUAAGAAUUGAAAUAACUAAAAAACUAAAUCUACAGCAUUUUAGCUUUUUUUCCCUGUAGCUAUAGGCUGCUUAUAUUCUGGGGAGUAUUUUAACUCGCAAGUCAUGUUUUAGAAUAAUACUUUUACCACUAAAUAUAUCAAAUUUUAAUUGAGGAUUUUUUAUCAGUUUUCUAAAGGAGAAACAAAAAGUGAUUCAUCCAUCUAAAUAAAAAUAUGCACUUUCAGGUAUGUGCAGAUUUUUAAAACUUAAGUUAAAGGUACAUGGAAAUCCACUUGGGAGAAAAAACAUCAGAUUCUAAAAUCUGGUUUAUAUGAAUCCAUAGAACAAAUGCAAAAUUUCCUUCAUUUGGAGACUAUUAUGUACAUAUUAUACUGGUGCAACGCUUUUUCUUCUUUUUUUUUAACUUCCUAGGAGCACAAAGCUACUCAUAUUACCAGAAAAAAAAACAAUUCAUGGAACAAGCAGCAAGUAAACAAUUUCUCCCAGAGGAUCCAGAAAAGAAAAAAACCCACCUCAAAUGAAGCAAAAAACGAAAAAAAAAAAAAACCCUUAUUAUAUUAUGGCUACUUCUCUCCGAGGAGGAGUUGCAAGCACUCCUAAGGAUCAUGUCCAACAGCCUCACGCCAUCCUGCGAGGUAUAAAGAACGGGUACUGGUGCCCUCGCUCCUUGAAAUGUUUAUAUGGGGAGAGUGGCUCUCCCAGGCGGGCUGGAGCACUGCCAGGCAGUAACUUUCCUCUCCUCCUCGAGGAAGUGAAUCAGGGCCGCCCUGGCCCGGAUCAGUUCGCAGGUGUCCAGCACCCAGUAGGAGACUUGGUCCCUGACCCCCCCAGCGCCCACUCCCUCUGGGCUCCUCGGGGAGGUGUGCCAUCAGCGAGGUGAGCUCGCCGCACGACUGAGUCCGGACCGCUUGGAAGAGCGUGCACCUGUGUGGUUCAGGGUCACAGGUAGAGGCGGAGCUAAAACAUUGCCAACCAGUAUAAAAGGCUGAUUCUGGGUGAAGAGCAAAAAAGGUAAAAGAAGGGAAGAACUACGGAAAUGAGGAAGAAAGGAGGAGGCAAGAUUUCUCGCCAAUUCUGAGGAGAUGGCCCAGAGCACAGAAUUCCAGUGGACUCACUGAGUUCAUCGAAACUCCGAGUACAAGCUGAGCGUGUUGUGUCUACUGCUGUCAGCCCCAAGAGGCCAGGCUCUUCCCGAGAACCAGAAGAUGGUUCCAACGCAGAAGACACACAAUGAUGUUCUAAAAAACACAGUGACCCAGAGAAUCUCUCAUAUCCUUUCUUUUUUUUUUUUCUUACUUCCCUGAAUUAGCCAACCACCUACUCUA